AAGUCGUAACAAGGUUUCCGUAGGUGAACCUGCGGAUCAUUAACACGUCGUUCUCGUAACACCAGUGCGCCUCAGCAACCGGUAAAUCAUUGUUGUUCAGUAUUGAUUCGGGACCUCUGACAAAUGCCUUACGAUCGAGCUGACAUGGCUUCCAGUGAAUGAAAGUGUCACCGGAUAACGCCUGGGUCGACACAGGGUCCUUUGAGAUCCCUUCGAAUCCCCACUACUUGAAAGUUCGGGCUUGCUAAAUACACGCCCAAAAAAACGAACAACUGUUAACAAUGGAUAUCUUGGUUCUC
rnacentral:misc_RNA from 1 species